rnacentral:rRNA from 1 species
GACGAACGCUGGCGGCGUGCUUAACACAUGCAAGUCGAACGGAAAGGCCCUGCUUUUGUGGGGUGCUCGAGUGGCGAACGGGUGAGUAACACGUGAGUAACCUGCCCUUGACUUUGGGAUAACUUCAGGAAACUGGGGCUAAUACCGGAUAGGAGCUCCUGCUGCAUGGUGGGGGCUGGAAAGUUUCGGCGGUUGGGGUUGGACGCGCGGCUUAUCAGCUUGUUGGUGGGGUAGUGGUUUACCAAGGCCUUGACGGGUAGCCGGCCUGAGAGGGUGACCGGCCACAUUGGGACUGAGAUAGGGGCAAGACUGCUACGGGAGGAAGCGGCGGAAAAUAGUGCACACAAGGCGGAAGCCGGGUACAACGACGCCGCGUGCGGGAUGACGGCCUUCGGGUUGUAAACCGCUUUCGCCUGUGACGAAGCGUGAGUGACGGUAAUGGAUAAAGAAGCACCGGCUAACUACGUG